AGAAGUUCAGUGGUCCAGCAUUUGCUUUGGAUGCAGAAGAUUCCAGGUUCAAUCCCUGGUAUCUCUA